CUACUGGGGUAUCUAAUCCUGUUUGAUCCCCACGCUUUCGUGCCUCAGCGUCAAUAUAGGCGUAGUAAGCUGCCUUCGCAAUAGGUGUUCUAUGUCAUAUCUAUGCAUUUCACCGCUACAUGACAUAUUCCGCUUACCUCCACCAUAUUCAAGAUAGAUAGUAUCAAAGGCAGUUCUGGAGUUAAGCUCCAGGAUUUCACCUCUGACUUACCUACCCGCCUACGCACCCUUUAAACCCAGUGAAUCCGGAUAACGCUUGCACCCUCCGUAUUACCGCGGCUGCUGGCAC
rnacentral:rRNA from 1 species